GCCGCCGCCGCUGCGCGGCGCAGCAGCGGGUCCGGCUCCCGGCCGGGCCUGGUCAUCGGCGUGAUCGUGGCGAUCGCGGUGGUG
rnacentral:tRNA from 1 species